GCAGGCUGCAACUCGCCUGCAUGAAGUUGGAAUUGCUAGUAAUCGCGAAUCAGAAUGUCGCGGUGAAUACGUUCCCGGGCCUUGUACACACCGCCCGUCACACCAUGAGAGUCGAUAACACCCGAAGCCUGUGAGCUAACCUUUUAGGAGGCAGCAGUCGAAGGUGGGGUUGAUGAUUGGGGUGAAGUCGUAACAAGGUAGC
rnacentral:rRNA from 1 species